GUGUGGGUUAGUGGUAGAAUAUUUGCCUAGCAAGCAGAAGGCCCUGGAUUCACUUUCCAGCAC
rnacentral:tRNA from 1 species